AUACGUAGGGAGCGAGCGUUGUCCGGAAUUACUGGGCGUAAAGGGCGCGUAGGCGGCGCUUCAAGUCGUCUGUCAAAUGGGAGGGCUUAACCCUUUUUCGCAGACGAAACUGGAGAGCUUGAGAAGCAGAGAGGCAAACAGAAUUCCUGGUGUAGCGGUGAAAUGCGUAGAUAUCAGGAAGAAUACCAGUGGCGAAGGCGGUUUGCUGGCUGCAUACUGACGCUGAAGCGCGAAAGCCAGGGGAGCGAACGGGAUUAGAUGCCCCGGUAGUCCUGGCAGUAAACGAUGUAUGCUGGGUGUGAGACUAGCGAUAGUUUCGUGCCGAAGUUAACGCGAUAAGCAUACCGCCUGGGGAGUACGGUCGCAAGAUUGAAACUCAAAUGAAUUGACGGGG
rnacentral:rRNA from 1 species